rnacentral:rRNA from 1 species
GAUGAACGCUGGCGGCGUGCCUAAUACAUGCAAGUCGAGCGAACAGACGAGGAGCUUGCUCCACUGACGUUAGCGGCGGACGGGUGAGUAACACGUGGAUAACCUACCUAUAAGACUGGGAUAACUUCGGGAAACCGGAGCUAAUACCGGAUAAUAUAUUGAACCGCAUGGUUCAAUAGUGAAAGACGGUUUUGCUGUCACUUAUAGAUGGAUCCGCGCCGCAUUAGCUAGUUGGUAAGGUAACGGCUUACGAAGGCAACGAUGCGUAGCCGACCUGAGAGGGUGAACGGCCACACUGGAACUGGAACACGGUCCAGACUCCUACGGGAGGCAGCAGUAGGGAAUCUUCCGCAAUGGGCGAAAGCUUGACGGAGCAACGCCGCGUGAGUGAUGAAGGUCUUCGGAUCGUAAAACUCUGUUAUUAGGGAAGAACAAUUGUGUAAGUAACUAUGCACGUCUUGACGGUACCUAAUCAGAAAGCCACGGCUAACUACGUG